ensembl:lncRNA
GCCAGACACUUAAGACGUGCACAAAACAAAGGAUUUACAGAGAGAGAGAGAAAAAAAUCGUCACGGUGUUUGACAAAAAGCAUUCCAUUUGCAUUAUCUGUGCAUAUUAGUAAAGUAACAAACCACAAGCCAGGACGUCACUAAGUGGUAUUUAAGAGGCAGCGUCACAGGUGAAUGGAGAGAAGUGGAAGAACUGAAGCAUAGAAUAACUAUUGGACCACUGAGACAGCAGCGGAUUACCGAUCAACGUGUUCAGCAUAAUAUAUCUGCUAAAGGUCUGAUUCUUAUUAUAACCACUGCACUCUUUCCAGAAUGGAGGGAAAAGCUUUUAUUAUAAUGUGCAUUCUCAUUGCAAAAGUCCAAUCCCAAAGUACAACAAUCUCCGUAACAGAUUCAACAUCAUCACUAUCAUCUGUUAGUACAACCAACACCUCCGCAACAUCCACAGCUACAACUUCUUCAACAACCACUACAGCUCCUGCUGAAACAUUCACCACUACUGCAGGAGUUACCACAACAGCACCACAAACUACUGUUACAACAACUGAAUCCUCCACAACAGCCACAACAACAAAUGCACCCUCAACUAUAGUUUGUUCAAAUCCAUGCACAAAACCAACAACUUUAACCCCAACAGGUUCUACCUCUGUCACAACAACUCUUACUGAGUCAUCAACCAUUAGUGCACCAGUCACAUCUGCUCAGUCUACAGCCUCUACAGCAUCUACAGAGCCUACAGCUUCUACAGUCUCAUCCACAUCUUCUCAGUCUACAGCAUCUACAGAUUCUACAAUAUCUACAGCAUCUACAGAGACUACAGCUCCUAUAGUAUCUACAGCUUCUACAGUGUCAGCCACAUCUGCUCAGUCUACAGCAUCAACAGCAUCUACAGUAUCUACAGCAUCUACAGAAUCUACAGAGUCUACAGCUCCUACAGUAGCUACAGCUUCUACAGUGUCAUCCACAUCUGCUCGGUCUACAGCAUCAACAGCUUCUACAACAUCAACAGCUUCUACAGUGUCUACAGCUUCUACAGAGCCUACAGCUUCUACAGUGUCAUCCACAUCUGCUCGGUCUACAGCAUCAACAGCUUCUACAAUAUCUACAGCAUCUACAGAGUCUACAGCUCCUACAGUAUCUACAGCUUCUACAGUGCCAUCCACAUCUGCUCAGUCUACAGCAUCUACAGAUUCUACAGCAUCAACAGAUUCUACAAUAUCUACAGCAUCUACAGAGCCUACAGCUUCUACAGUGUCAUCCACAUCUGCUCAGUCUACAGCCUCUACAGCAUCUACAGUAUCUACAGAUUCUACAGUGUCAUCCACUUCUGCUCAGUCUACAGCAUCUACAGAUUCUACAGCUUCUACAGCAUCAACAGAUUCUACAAUAUCUACAGCAUCUACAGAGUCUACAGCUCCUACAGUAUCUACAGCUCCUACCGCGUCAUCCACUUCUACUCAGUCUACAGCCUCUACAGCAUCUGCAGAGCCUACAGCUCAUACAGUAUCUACAGCGUCUACAGUGUCAUCCACAUCUGCUCAGUCUACAGCCUCUACAGCAUCUACAGAGCCUACAGCUCAUACAGUAUCUACAGCUUCUACAGUGUCAUCCACAUCUACUCAGUCUACAGCAUCUACAGAUUCUACAGCAUCAACAGAUUCUACAAUAUCUACAGCAUCUACAGAGCCUACAGCUCCUAUAGUAUCUACAGCUUCUACAGUGUCUUCCACAUCUGCUCAGUCUACAACCUCUGCAGCAUCUACAGAGUCUACAGCUCCUAUAGUAUCUACAGCUUCUACAGUUUCUUCCACAUCUGCUCAGUCUGCAGCCUCUGCAGCAUCUACAGAGUCUACAGCUCCUAUAGUAUCUACAGCUUCUACAGUGUCAUCCAGUUCUGCUCAGUCUACAGCAUCUACAGAGUCUACAGCUCCUACAGUAUCUACAGAUUCUACAGUGUCAUCCACUUCUGCUCAUACUACAGCAUCUACAGAGACCACAGCAUCUACAGCAUCUACAACAUCUACAACUUCCACAGCAACUACUGCAAAAAUAGUACCUGAGGUGCUAACAGUUCUGGAGUUUCGCUCUAAUGACACAUUUAUUAUUGCACUCAGCGAUAACAACAGUGAGGAGUUCAAGAGUAGGGCUAAGCUUGUCAAAGAUCAGAUUGAGCCCAUCUACAAAAUCAAGUAUGAUAACUUCCUCAGAGUGAUUGUCCUAGGAUUCAGUGAAGGGUCAAUCAUCACAUCAACACGACUAGCUUUCAGCUUAAAUCAAGCUAUCCCAUCUGUUGGAGAGAUUUCGAACACCCUCUUGACAGCAGUGGGAAACGGAGGUGUCAAUCUAUUGAACAUAAUUCCUCAAUCAAUUUCAGUCAAUGGUUCAGCUUCAGCUACCACUGUCACUCCUGCAGCAACCAUAGCAACUACAGCUUCAGGUGGAUUAAAGAUUGAAUCCAGUCUGCUCCAAGCAACAUGCCUCGUCAUUAUGUCUAAAAUAUUAAGGCUUUUCCUAUAGAUCCCCUAAACAUAUAUCAAUCAAAUAUGAGAGUUCAGUAAUAAAUGCUAUAACAAAUAAUUAAAUGACA